rnacentral:rRNA from 1 species
CCUACGGGGGGCAGCAGUAGGGAAUCUUCGGCAAUGGACGAAAGUCUGACCGAGCAACGCCGCGUGAGUGAAGAAGGUUUUCGGAUCGUAAAACUCUGUUGUUAGAGAAGAACAAGUAGGAGAGUAACUGCUCUUACCUUGACGGUAUCUAACCAGAAAGCCACGGCUAACUACGUGCCAGCAGCCGCGGUAAUACGUAGGUGGCAAGCGUUGUCCGGAUUUAUUGGGCGUAAAGCGAGCGCAGGCGGUCUUUUCAGUCUGAUGUGAAAGCCCUCGGCUCACACGACGAAGGUCAUUGGAAACUGGAGGACUUGAGUGCAGAAGAGGAGAGUGGAAUUCCAUGUGUAGCGGUGAAAUGCGUAGAUAUAUGGAGCAACACCAGUGGCGAAGGCGACUCUCUGGUCUGUAACUGACGCUGAGGCUCGAAAGCGUGGGGAGCAAACAGGAUAGAUACCCCAGUAGUC